GAUGAAGAACGCAGCGAAAUGCGAUAAGUAAUGUGAAUUGCAGAAUUCCGUGAAUCAUCGAAUCUUUGAACGCAUAUUGCGCCCCUUGGUAUUCCAUGGGGCAUGCCUGUUCGAGCGUCAUUUGUACCUUCAAGCUUUGCUUGGUGUUGGGUGUUUGUCUCGCCUUUGCGUGUAGACUCGCCUUAAAAUAAUUGGCAGCCGGCGUAUUGAUUUCGGAGCGCAGUACAUCUCGCGCUUUGCACUCAUAACGACAGCGUCCAAAAGUACAUUUUACACUCUUGACCUCGGAUCAGGUAGGGAUACCCGCUGAACUUAAGCAUAUCAAUAAGCGGAGGA
rnacentral:misc_RNA from 1 species